AUGAUUUUGACAUUAACUCUGACUGUGGUGUUGGGCUUUCUGAGUCAGGAGUCUUCUGCCAGCAAUUUCCUGACGACUCAGACUGACAAAGUCAUGUCUGUUAGUGUUGGAGGGACUGUGAACAUCAGGGCCACAGGGAGUUCAAAUAUUGGUGCUUAUCUCAAGUCUGAACUGUUUUCAUGCACUCACACUGAAAACUGCUCCACAAAGAUGUCGCCACUCACUUUGCUUCUCUUGCUGGGUUUUCUGAGUCAAGAGUCUUCUGCCAGCAGUUUCUUGACUCAGACUGACAAAGUCAUGUCUGUAAGUGUUGGAGGGACUGUGAACAUCAGGGCCACAGGGAGUUCAGAUAUUGGUGCUGAUCUCAGUUGGUAUCUUCAGAAACCUGGACAGGCUCCAAAACUUCUUAUAUACUAUACAUCAACUCUCUACUCUGGAACUCCAUCUCGAUUCAGUGGCAGCAGCUCUGGUUCUGACUAUACUUUAACCAUCAGUGGUGUUCAGGCUGAAGAUGCUGGAGAUUAUUACUGUUUCGGUAACCAUGGUAGUGGAGUGUUCACACAGUGA